rnacentral:rRNA from 1 species
CGGGGUGAGUAAUGUCUGGGAAACUGCCUGAUGGAGGGGGGUAACUACUGGAAACGAUAGCUAAUACCGCAUAACGUCGCAAGACCAAAGAGGGGGACCUUCGGGCCUCUUGCCAUCGGAUGUGCCCAGAUGGGAUUAGCUAGUAGGUGGGGUAACGGCUCACCUAGGCGACGAUCCCUAGCUGGUCUGAGAGGAUGACCAGCCACACUGGAACUGAGACACGGUCCAG